GCCCGCCUAGCUCAAUCGGAUAGAGCGUCAGACUCUUACGAUCGUUUGACACGGCGGAGUGCAUCUGAAGGCUGCGAGUUCGACCCUCGCGGUGGGCU